rnacentral:rRNA from 1 species
UGAACGCUGGCGGCAUGCCUUACACAUGCAAGUCGAACGGCAGCACGGGUGCUUGCACCUGGUGGCGAGUGGCGAACGGGUGAGUAAUACAUCGGAACAUGUCCUGUAGUGGGGGAUAGCCCGGCGAAAGCCGGAUUAAUACCGCAUACGAUCUACGGAUGAAAGCGGGGGACCUUCGGGCCUCGCGCUAUAGGGUUGGCCGAUGGCUGAUUAGCUAGUUGGUGGGGUAAAGGCCUACCAAGGCGACGAUCAGUAGCUGGUCUGAGAGGACGACCAGCCACACUGGGACUGAGACACGGCCCAGACUCCUACGGGAGGCAGCAGUGGGGAAUUUUGGACAAUGGGCGAAAGCCUGAUCCAGCAAUGCCGCGUGUGUGAAGAAGGCCUUCGGGUUGUAAAGCACUUUUGUCCGGAAAGAAAUCCUUGGCUCUAAUACAGUCGGGGGAUGACGGUACCGGAAGAAUAAGCACCGGCUAACUACGUGCCAGCAGCCGCGGUAAUACGUAGGGUGCGAGCGUUAAUCGGAAUUACUGGGCGUAAAGCGUGCGCAGGCGGUUUGCUAAGACCGAUGUGAAAUCCCCGGGCUCAACCUGGGAACUGCAUUGGUGACUGGCAGGCUAGAGUAUGGCAGAGGGGGGUAGAAUUCCACGUGUAGCAGUGAAAUGCGUAGAGAUGUGGAGGAAUACCGAUGGCGAAAGGCAGCCCCCUGGGCCCAAUACUGACGCUCAUGCACGAAAGCGUGGGGGAGCAAACAGGAUUAGAUACCCUGGUAGUCCACGCCCUAAACGAUGUCAACUAGUUGUUGGGGAUUCAUUUCCUUAGUAACGUAGCUAACGCGUGAAGUUGACCGCCUGGGGAGUACGGUCGCAAGAUUAAAACUCAAAGGAAUUGACGGGGACCCGCACAAGCGGUGGAUGAUGUGGAUUAAUUCGAUGCAACGCGAAAAACCUUACCUACCCUUGACAUGGUCGGAAUCCCGCUGAGAGGUGGGAGUGCUCGAAAGAGAACCGGCGCACAGGUGCUGCAUGGCUGUCGUCAGCUCGUGUCGUGAGAUGUUGGGUUAAGUCCCGCAACGAGCGCAACCCUUGUCCUUAGUUGCUACGCAAGAGCACUCUAAGGAGACUGCCGGUGACAAACCGGAGGAAGGUGGGGAUGACGUCAAGUCCUCAUGGCCCUUAUGGGUAGGGCUUCACACGUCAUACAAUGGUCGGAACAGAGGGUUGCCAACCCGCGAGGGGGAGCUAAUCCCAGAAAACCGAUCGUAGUCCGGAUUGCACUCUGCAACUCGAGUGCAUGAAGCUGGAAUCGCUAGUAAUCGCGGAUCAGCAUGCCGCGGUGAAUACGUUCCCGGGUCUUGUACACACCGC